rnacentral:rRNA from 1 species
UACGGGGGGGGCAAGCGUUGUUCGGAAUUACUGGGCGUAAAGGGCUCGUAGGUGGUCAACUAAGUCGGACGUGAAAUCCCUCGGCUUAACCGGGGAACUGCGUCCGAUACUGGAUGACUUGAGUACGGUAGAGGGGGAUGGAAUUCCGCGUGUAGCAGUGAAAUGCGUAGAUAUGCGGAGGAACACCGAUGGCGAAGGCAAUCCCCUGGACCUGUACUGACGCUCAUGCACGAAAGCGUGGGGAGCAAACAGG